rnacentral:rRNA from 1 species
UACGGGGGGGGUAAGCGUUGUUCGGAAUUACUGGGCGUAAAGGGCUCGUAGGCGGCCAACUAAGUCAUACGUGAAAUCCCUCAGCUUAACUGGGGAACUGCGUGUGAUACUGGAUGGCUUGGAUUUGGGAGAGGGAUGCGGAAUUCCAGGUGUAGCGGUGAAAUGCGUAGAUAUCUGGAGGAACACCGGUGGCGAAGGCGGCAUCCUGGACCGACAUUGACGCUGAACGGCGAAAGCUAGGGGAGCAAACGGG